GAUGAACGCUGACAGAAUGCUUAACACAUGCAAGUCUACUUGAUCCUUCGGGUGAUGGUGGCGGACGGGUGAGUAACGCGUAAAGAACUUGCCCUGCAGUCUAGGACAACAUUUGGAAACGAAUGCUAAUACCGGAUAUUAUGUGAGUUUCGCAUGAAAUUCAUAUGAAAGCUAUAUGCGCUGCAGGAGAGCUUUGCGUCCUAUUAGCUAGUUGGUGAGGUAACGGCUCACCAAGGCGAUGAUAGGUAGCCGGCCUGAGAGGGUGAACGGCCACAAGGGGACUGAGACACGGCCCUUACUCCUACGGGAGGCAGCAGUGGGGAAUAUUGGACAAUGGACCAAAAGUCUGAUCCAGCAAUUCUGUGUGCACGAUGAAGUUUUUCGGAAUGUAAAGUGCUUUCAGUUGGGACGAAGUAAGUGACGGUACCAACAGAAGAAGCGACGGCUAAAUACGUGCCAGCAGCCGCGGUAAUACGUAUGUCGCAAGCGUUAUCCGGAUUUAUUGGGCGUAAAGCGCGUCUAGGCGGUUUGGUAAGUCUGAUGUGAAAAUGCGGGGCUCAACUCCGUAUUGCGUUGGAAACUGCCAAACUAGAGUACUGGAGAGGUGGGCGGAACUACAAGUGUAGAGGUGAAAUUCGUAGAUAUUUGUAGGAAUGCCGAUGGGGAAGCCAGCCUACUGGACAGAUACUGACGCUAAAGCGCGAAAGCGUGGGUAGCAAACAGG
rnacentral:rRNA from 1 species